GAUGAACGCUAGCUACAGGCUUAACACAUGCAAGUCGAGGGGAAACGACAUCGAAAGCUUGCUUUUGAUGGGCGUCGACCGGCGCACGGGUGAGUAACGCGUAUCCAACCUGCCCACCACUUGGGGAUAACCUUGCGAAAGUAAGACUAAUACCCAAUGAUAUCUCUAGAAGACAUCUGAAAGAGAUUAAAGAUUUAUCGGUGAUGGAUGGGGAUGCGUCUGAUUAGCUUGUUGGCGGGGUAACGGCCCACCAAGGCUACGAUCAGUAGGGGUUCUGAGAGGAAGGGCCCCCACAUUGGAACAGAGACACGGUCCAAACUCCUACGGGAGGCAGCAGUGAGGAAUAUUGGUCAAUGGGCGAGAGCCUGAACCAGCCAAGUAGCGUGCAGGAUGACGGCCCUAUGGGUUGUAAACUGCUUUUAUAAGGGAAUAAAGUGAGCCUCGUGAGGCUUUUUGCAUGUACCUUAUGAAUAAGGACCGGCUAAUUCCGUGCCAGCCGCCGCGGUAAAAC
rnacentral:rRNA from 1 species